rnacentral:rRNA from 1 species
AACGAACGCUGGCGGCAUGCCUAACACAUGCAAGUCGAACGAGACCUUCGGGUCUAGUGGCGCACGGGUGCGUAACGCGUGGGAACCUGCCCCUAGGUUCGGAAUAACUCCCCGAAAGGGGUGCUAAUACCGGAUAAUGUCUUCGGACCAAAGAUUUAUCGCCUUUGGAUGGGCCCGCGUUGGAUUAGCUAGUUGGUAGGGUAAAAGCCUACCAAGGCGACGAUCCAUAGCUGGUCUGAGAGGAUGAUCAGCCACACUGGGACUGAGACACGGCCCAGACUCCUACGGGAGGUAGCAGUGGGGAAUAUUGGACAAUGGGCGAAAGCCUGAUCCAGCAAUGCCGCGUGAGUGAUGAAGGCCUUAGGGUUGUAAAGCUCUUUUACCCGGGAUGAUAAUGACAGUACCGGGAGAAUAAGCUCCGGCUAACUCCGUG